rnacentral:rRNA from 1 species
GCCUCUUGCCAUCGGAUGUGCCCAGAUGGGAUUAGCUAGUAGGUGGGGUAACGGCUCACCUAGGCGACGAUCCCUAGCUGGUCUGAGAGGAUGACCAGCCACACUGGAACUGAGACACGGUCCAGACUCCUACGGGAGGCAGCAGUGGGGAAUAUUGCACAAUGGGCGCAAGCCUGAUGCAGCCAUGCCGCGUGUAUGAAGAAGGCCUUCGGGUUGUAAAGUACUUUCAGCGGGGAGGAAGGGAGUAAAGUUAAUACCUUUAAUCAUUGACGUUACCCGCAGAAGAAGCACCGGCUAACUCCGUGCCAGCAGCCGCGGUAAUACGGAGGGUGCAAGCGUUAAUCGGAAUUACUGGGCGUAAAGCGCACGCAGGCGGUUUGUUAAGUCAGAUGUGAAAUCCCCGGGCUCAACCUGGGAACUGCAUCUGAUACUGGCAAGUUUGAGUCUCGUAGAGGGGGGUAGAAUUCCAGGUGUAGCGGUGAAAUGCGUAGAGAUCUGGAGGAAUACCGGUGGCGAAGGCGGCCCCCUGGACGAAGACUGACGCUCAGGUGCGAAAGCGUGAGGAGCAAACAGGAUUAGAUACCCUGGUAGUCCACGCCGUAAACGAUGUCGACUUGGAGGUUGUGCCCUUGAGGCGUGGCUUCCGGAGCUAACGCGUUAAGUCGACCGCCUGGGGAGUACGGCCGCAAGGUUAAAACUCAAAUGAAUUGACGGGGGCCCGCACAAGCGGUGGAGCAUGUGGUUUAAUUCGAUGCAACGCGAAGAACCUUACCUGGUCUUGACAUCCACGGAAGUUUUCAGAGAUGAGAAUGUGCCUUCGGGAACCGUGAGACAGGUGCUGCAUGGCUGUCGUCAGCUCGUGUUGUGAAAUGUUGGGUUAAGUCCCGCAACGAGCGCAACCCUUAUCCUUUGUUGCCAGCGGUCCGGCCGGGAACUCAAAGGAGACUGCCAGUGAUAAACUGGAGGAAGGUGGGGAUGACGUCAAGUCAUCAUGGCCCUUACGACCAGGGCUACACACGUGCUGCAAUGGCGCAUACAAAGAGAAGCGACCUCGCGAGAGCAAGCGGACCUCAUAAAGUGCGUCGUAGUCCGGAUUGGAGUCUGCAACUCGACUCCAUGAAGUCGGAAUCGCUAGUAAUCGUGGAUCAGAAUGCCACGGUGA